rnacentral:snRNA from 1 species
GCUCACUUCAACAGCACAUAGAAAAAUUGAGAAGGAUACAGAGAUGAUUAGCAUGGGCUUUGCAGGAAAUGAUGUGCACAUUUGUAAAGCAUUUUGUAUUUUU